GGAUAGCUCAGCCCAUAGAGCAUGAGCUUCUUAAUCUCAGGAUCGUGAGUUUGAGCCCCAUGUUGGACA